rnacentral:lncRNA from 1 species
UAACUCUUCAACUCAACCACUGAAGACCAACAGCCACCGGCCACCAAGAUGUUGCCGUCGCAGCCACCGGCAUCGCCUUGUCCGAUGAUGUUAUUGUGAAACCCUUAUGGCACCCCGAGCCAGUUCGAUUCGGGUCAAUGAUGACCCGACCAGUCUGAUCUAGCCAUCGGUCGGACUAUUGGCCUAGUUUCACAUACCGUGUAAUACCCCCUACCCGUAUUCAUUGCAGGAAUAGGGUACGAGGUAUUACCGGAGUUUACGAGUUAAUUUGUUUUCCAAUAUAGCCCCUUUUAUAAAUAUCUAACCUUUCCUGAAAUUUUAAACCAAAAAUAAUCCACAUCAACCAACCCAAUUCAACAUAUUUUCAAGAUAGGUUAUCGCAUAUAUAUUCACGCAUAUUUAUAAGAUAACAUCAUCGCAUACCAAAACCAAG